rnacentral:misc_RNA from 1 species
UAAAUUAAUUAAUUUAUUUUGGUGGCAUGUAUUAUAAAGGUUGUAAUAUUUUUGGAUUGUAAUUUCAUUUAUUUGAGGACUUUAAAGUCCAUGUUCUUGUAAAUUUGCCUUAGUAUGCCAAGGAUUACUAUGUAAUAUUGGAUUGCAAGAAGUUCAAGGAGGUCAAGAGCAUUGGUGAGACCAAUGGGAGGAAUUCAAGAUCAAGUAUUGAUUAUGUCACACCCUACCCCUCUGUAA